GUGAGUGAGGUUAGGGGUUACGGCUCGCAGGAGGUAACAGAAGCUUGCGGCCUGCGGCUGGUUGUGGACGAGGGUCGAGGCUAACAGGAAGUGCUCUUCCUUUCCCCUCUUCCUCUUGCACUCUAACGGUCUAGCAAGCAAUGGACGGAGGGUAACAUCGACUGGAGCUUCUCCAGCGUUCAGAGAACUCGUCCUUCUCUUGUCUGAUAUUCCCAGAGGAAAAGCGUUCCAUUGUUCCCGAGGGGUUGAAGAGAGAUAGAUAGAUAGACAUGAAGGAUUCAGGGUGACGUGAAGGAGAAGGUGGGGUGUUCGAAGAGGUUGGGGUAUAUGAUAGAAUCUAGCGACCUAGCCGGCAGGAUCUAUUGUUCUCUGGAGGCCAGCAACACGCCAGCUGAGCAAAAGCAACAGCAACAGUAACAGUAACUGCAACUGCAACUGCAACUGUAACUGUUACAACGACAGCAACAGGAUUAGAAACGAGGUUAAUGGGAACGACAUUGGAUAAGCAUGAACGAGUCGAUGAUGCGUUAGAAAAUCCUAUUGUUGGCCGAUUAGUGACGAUGAUCGAGAGGACUAUUCAUGAAAUAGAUUAUCUGCAAUUGGUGAAAGUACGGAAUAAAAGGACACGUUAUACAGUCAAGGGAAAUUGGUGAAUUUUCGACACCACACGGAAUCGUCGUAUUCGAUAAAGGAAAAAUCGAAUCUGUUGCUGUUUCACGUCCUAAGUUAACAAAUAUUUAUAUCGAAAUAUUUUCCUUGUCGCGACCAAAGUAAAACAA
rnacentral:lncRNA from 1 species